UGGUGUAGGGACACUGAGGUGAAGGUGUAGAUGAUUGUUAGAGAAUAACUUGCACUGAGUGUGACCAAUACGAGAACCACAUAGAUGUCUACUCACUCUCAGUGAUUUUCUUGAUGCUACAGUGGUGUGAGUGGUCCUUUGACUUAUGGUGCUAUUGGCUAUUCAUAGUGAGGCUACUGGGUUUGACUGCACGUUUCCUUAGAUUAUAGCCAUUCGG
rnacentral:lncRNA from 1 species